rnacentral:lncRNA from 1 species
UUCAUUUGAACACUUUUAUGACUUGAUUAGAUUAGAUUUACUUUCUUGUUGUUCAUGACCCUCCCACCAUCUUCAUGACGGUGUGUGUAGUGGUGAAUCAUAUAAUGAGGUUUCAACCUCCAUGCUUGACAAUACAUGAUACUACAUGACAUUCUUUGAUUGGACAUAGUUUAGGUCAUAUUAUUACCUUAUAAAUAUACAUAUAAUUAUACAAUACAUGGCUGAAUUUGUGAUGGUAAUCAAGUUGUGAUUAUUCGUCAUAAACCUAGGCUAACAUAUCUAAGAUUCUAAGUUAUUUGUUAUGAUUCCAAUGGGCAAUUUGGGACCCAUGAAACCACUUAAUAUGGUGUCAUAAACGAGCUCUUAGAACUAGAUAAUAUUUUCAUAUACAUACUUUUGAUACUUUAAUUUCUAAAUCCCGAAUCUCACCACUUCCUAAAUAUCAAGAAACCUUGCCAAUAAAUCCUUAUUCUCUAACAACUCGCCACUCAUGGAUAAUCGGAAAGCAUAUGCAAUUUUGUUGAUGAGGACGAUGCUAAGAAAAGAAGUAGCGUUGAUGCCUAGAUACACAUAUAGACGUUAG